rnacentral:rRNA from 1 species
AUUGAACGCUGGCGGCAGGCCUAACACAUGCAAGUCGAGCGAGCGGCGGACGGGUGAGUAAUGUAUGGGGACUGCCCGAUAGAGGGGGAUAACUACUGGAAACGGUAGCUAAUACCGCAUACUAUCGGAUAACCCAUAGGGGAUUAGCUAGUAGGGGAGGUAAUGGCUCACCUAGGCGACGCUCCCUAGCUGGUCUGAGAGGAUGAUCAGCGACACUGGGAUUGAGACACGGCCCAGACUCCUACGGAGGCAGCCGUGGGGAAUAUUGCACAUUGGGCGCAAGCCUGAUGCAGCCAGGCCGCGUGUAUGAAGAAGGCCCUAGGGUUGUAAAGUACUUUCAGUCGGGAGGCGUUACCGACAGAAGAGGCACCGGCUAACUCCGUGCCAGCAGGCGCGGUAAUAC